CUGCCUUAAAAAGAAGCCUGGGCCGGCCCACCAGAUAAUGAGAGACUAGCAGGCCAGCUGUCCCUGUUGAGCCAGCUUGCCAGCAGUCAGACAUGUAAGUGAGGCCAUCCGAGGUCAUCCAGGCAUUGACAAACUCACCAGCCGAUUGCAGAGAUGAGCUGCGCUGGUCCAGGCCAGAAGAACUGUCCAGCAGACCCAGAGAAUCAUGAGCCACAGAAGUGGUUAUUGUUUAGGUCAUUAAGAUUUGGAUAGUUUGGUAUGUAGCAAAGGCAAUUGAAAUGGAAGUUGGUAGCUAGAAGUGGAGUAACAAAAAUGGAACACGUGUGCUGUCUUUGGGACUGGGUGGCAGAUGGAGGCUGGGGAAGCAGCGAGGAAGCCACCACAGCAGCCCGAGUGCGGCUCCCCAGGCCCUGAAAUGGCAGAGCACUGCCACAUUUUGGAAGACAGAAAACAUAUCUAAUAACUUCUGGAUCUGGCUAAGGAGAUCAUCAGGCAGAAUGCUGGGAAUGUGGUUGGCCUCACCUCACUGCCUAUAAUAAAGUUCUGUAAGAAAGAUCAGGUACAGAAUGAUUUAGUUUGCAAGUAAUAAAAUUAGAAGGAAUAUUGAGGGUCCAGGACUUGAUGAGUUGGAAAAUAAAAUUACUUCUUAUUUCUAGGGUCCCCAACAGAUAGAUGAUAUUCCAAGUAAAACUAGGCCAGAGGACAAAGAUCAAAUCAAGGAUGUGUCCAUAUAACCCUUUGUUAACACCUUGGAAAGACUUAAGGCAGUGGCUAGUCAACCCUUUCAGCUAGACAGAAAGGCUUCUAAGGAUCUUAGGAAUCAGGUGCAGUGAUACCACGGAGCUCUCUCUCUCCUGCUCUUCCUCGUCUAAUGGGAGGGUGUCCUGCAGUUGUCCUGUUCUUGCCUCACUAAAGAAUGUGAAGAAUGGAAGUAUGGGGCACAGAACUUGUUUUUAGGUCAUUAUUCUCUCGGUCAGGAAGAGCCACAGCCCCAAAUCUUCAGUCACAUCUAGACCUGAUUUGGAUCCUGGGACUUCAAGCUUGAUGCCUUAAUUAGAUGGAACUUCUGGGCAUCCUGGGAUGGGGUGAGCAUAUUUUCAUGUCAGGUAAGUGUAAUUUGUGGUCAGAGGGGAAGACUGUUGUAGACCACCGAACUGGCUACAAGUGCUUCCUAUCAUCAUAUUCAUGCCUCUCUGCUACGCGACAUUGUAGCUCCUCUCACUGAGAGGUAGAGCCAUUUCUCCACCCACUGAAUCUGGGGGUGGUCAUGUGAUUUAGUUUGGCCAAUAGGACAUUUGGGAACGGAACACAAAUAGGGACUUAAAGUGCUUGCCUGUGGGGGCUGGCCCCGCCUCACUGCUCUUGGAACCCAGGUACACUCUGAAGAAGCCUGGGCUAGCCUGCUGGAGGAGGAGAUGCCACGCGGAGCAGAGCUGCACCGUUCCUCCGAGGCCCCUGUGGAGUAGCCGUCCCCGGGCCAACCUGGUAGCUACUGCAGAUGUCUGACUUUAACAAGAAGUCAGCAGGCUGCAACCCGGGAGAGGGUUCUCACCAGAAACCCAACCAUGCUGGCACCCCGAUCUUAGGUCAUUAAGUUUUGGAUUGUUUGAACAUGCACUGGUUCCUAGAAUAGAGUCCAAUACUCACCUCAGACUGGUUCCAGCAGGCAGCCUGGCAUCCAAAAUGUGAGGCCAUGCAC